CCCUUAGAUGUCCUGGGCCGCACGCGCGCUACACUGACAUGUUCAACAAGCCUCCUAGUUCGACAGGAUUUGGGAAAUCUUUGAACGCAUGUCGUGAUAGGGAUAGAUCAUUGCAAUUAUUGAUCUUGAACGAGGAAUUCCUAGAAAACGCGAGUCAUCAGCUCGCAUUGAUUACGUCCCUGCCCUUUGUACACACCGCCCGUCGCACCUACCGAUUGAAUGUUUCGGUGAAGAUUCCGGAUAGGACUUUUUUGAUUUAUUUCAAUUUUGUCUUAAAAGCUAUCUAAACCUCAACAUUUAGAGGAAGGUGAAGUCGUAACA
rnacentral:rRNA from 1 species